rnacentral:misc_RNA from 1 species
GUACAAUCCUCGCACCGUGGAAGAAGUUUUUAAGGAUUUUACCGGCCGUCGAACCGGCAUGAUCAAAGCCCUCACCACUGAUGUGGAGGAUUUUUAUCAUCAAUGUGACCCUGAAAAGGAAAAUCUCUGCCUCUAUGGAUAUCCAAGUGAGCAGUGGGAAGUCAAUUUGCCAGCUGAGGAGGUGCCUCCAGAGCUUCCAGAGCCAGCACUAGGUAUAAACUUCGCUAGAGAUGGGAUGCAAGAAAAGGAAUGGUUAGCUCUAGUUGCUGUACAUAGUGAUGCAUGGCUACUCUCUGUUUCCUUCUAUUUUGGUGCCAGAUUCGGCUUUGAUAGAGCUGACAGGAAACGUCUUUUCAACAUGAUGAAUGAUCUGCCAACAAUAUAUGAAGUUGUUACUGGAGUGGCCAAGAAGAGAGUAAAGGAUAAAUCAACAGUUUCAAAUCACAGCAGCAACAAGUCAAAAUCAAAUUCUAAAGCGGGUAAAUACUCAAAGCCUCAAGUAAAAGAUGAGGAUGAUGGAUUUGAUGAGGAAGAAGAAGAUGAACAUGGCGACACUCUGUGUGGUGCAUGUGGUGAGAACUAUGCUUCAGAUGAAUUCUGGAUUUUCUGUGACAUGUGCGAGAGGUGGUUCCAUGGAAACUGUGUGAAGAUCACCCCUGCCAAGGCCGAGCAUAUAAAGCAGUACAAAUGCCCUUCAUGCAGCAACAAGAGGAUACGCCCAUGACAUCCCCUAUCAGAUAUGUGCUGAGUUCCACAACUUGUAAUUGUUCAUGUUGAGCUCAGCUCACUGCCAUCUUACAAAUAUCAGUAAGGCAUGUGUAGUCAGAGUCCUAGUCUCUUAUGUUUAUCAGGGUGCUUAACUAGUUUAGUUCCCUCAAGACACCCUUUUAUUCAACUCUAAACAAUUGGAUAUUAG